AUUUAUGAAUGACUUAGUUUUAUGUCCGUGUAGUUUGUAAUAUGUGAAGUUCUCAAACAAGGUCUUGAAAUCAAAGAAUCUGCAUUCCCCCUCGCGCCCCACCUGGUCUCUUGAACCCGGAGCAGAGAGCGACUGAGACGACGUGUCUUCACCACCGUGGGAACGCAGAGGUAUCGGUUUGCUGUUCCCGCGACAUAUUGGACCUCUCUGCCGGCUGGUUGGAGCGCGCUCACCUGUAUGUGCGCACCUGUCUGUGCGCAUAGACACACAGUAAGUCGGGCCCCCUGUUGUUGAGAGCCUGGCUUGCUCCAACCUCUGGAAAGUAUGAGCUUCUUAUCUUUAUCAUUGUUAGAUAUGUCUGUUUAAAUUGUUGACAAUGAGUGUGUUUGUAAUCCUGCUUUUCGAAUUUUUGCAGUUGAGGAGAUUAAUUCCAGUCAACGGACAUUUCUGCAAAAUUCUUCCUCACUUUGAUUUCUCGUGCUGCUGUUUAUUGUUGUAGGAAAAAAUUUGUUCACAGUUGUCUCUCCCAAAUGUCUAGGGGGUGGGUAAUCUAAUCCUGUGUGGGGUCAUGUGAAAAGGUCACAAACCGAUGACUUGAGGUGAUGGACCAACCGGAAAAGUCACUCAAAUGUUGGGGGGUUGCAGAAUAAACAGGCCCGUCAGGGGUCUUCACUUCUAUUUUGGAGAAACAGAUGGACUCUGGAAUGUGUACAUCUCGGCGAGGUCCUCUUUAGGGGAAACAGAUGGACUCUGGAAUGUGUACAUCACGGCGAGGUGUAUAAAGAGGAGGAGAAUCAACCAAGAAAGGAGCAUUAAGUCGGAGACUUCUCAUUCGGAGGGUUCAGACUUUGCUCCACUCAGCUGGGUGUUUCCAUGACUUGAUUUGUGUGAUUACUUAUUUGUCUAGUUGACUCACUUGUCCACUUGUUUGUACCUGGCUCACAUUCUGAUCAUUUGUGAACUUAUUACUAUAUAAUAAAGUGUGAUAAGACCA